GGAUAAUUCUCUUUGGAAAAUUUCUCCACAGGGCGGCGCCAAAAAACGACGACAAUGUCUAUCUCCUAUUUGGCCAUGGAAUGUUCUGAAAACGCGUUUUAGGCUAUAACUCCCACACCGAAGCUCCCACAGUCAAAACCUUUAUAUCCACAUGUUGUUCAGGGUAGCAUUUUGAACACAUGCUUCGCGUUGUGCCGGCGAAACGCACAUUUCUUGUUAGGGGUCCAAGCCAACAGGUUGGAUCCCUAUUGUUUUUGUAAGGAUUUUUCCUAUUAUACUUACCUCCCUAAAAGUGGGACCACAGCCCAAACCGUAAAUGGUGCCGACACGCCAAUUGCAUGACUAGAUCCAGAUCUCUUCGGACUAUGCAGACGACAAAAUCCAGACCCGCCGGUCACUAGGUGGCGCUAUACCAAGGAAUACGCGUUUGGGGCUAUAACUCCCACACCGAACCUCCCACAUUCAAAACCUUGUACACACAGAUUCACUGGAGUCUGCUGCAUCUUUUGGCAUAGGCCACGCCCAUUUGCGUCUAGAAUUUUUUUUCGCAAAAUCGCGAAAACCGCAAAACUGUUUUUUCGCUACUCCUCCCACAUUUCUCGACCAAUCAACACCAAACUUUGCACUCCGCAUCUUCAGACGCACACCCAAAGAAACCCUCAGACAGUUUUUUGAUCCGACUUUCGACGACGAAACGGUAGCGUUUUGAAUAUUG
ensembl:lncRNA